GAACCAAGAAUCUUCAUUCUGGGGAACUCAAACAAUAGAAAUGCUGCCAUCGGACCCCUUAACCAGCUGAAGCAAGCAGUCCUUCAGUAAGGAAAAUCCGGCUUCCAUCUGCCAUAGUACCUUGUUUACCAUAUAUGGACUGCUUUGAAAACUAGCCAAUCAGCUUGUGCCAAGUUUGAAAUGUCCCUAACCUCUUAAAUUUUGCCCCAAACCCUGGCUGGGGGAGACAGAUUUGAGCCCUACCUCCUGUCUCCUUGCCGGUCGACCUCGCAAUAAAGCUUUUUCUUUUCUCAAAAGCUGGUGCCAUAGUAUUGGCUUCUGUGCGCGCCAGGCAGUGAGCCCUUGCUCGGUGAGAAUUUCUGGCGAUCGCAAACGAACUAAGCUCCUGCUGUGAUCGCCUGGCUGAGGCACUGUAGCCCCCGGCUGGGUGUAGGCCCUCGUCACCGACCCUGAGUGGCCACCUAGACCCGAUUUGUCUAGAGGCUCGGCUGUCGGGUUCCUGCUUCCCGCAGCAGCUGCGCUCCAGGCUCCUCCGCGCUACUUUCACUUUUGGGGAAAGAAACAGCUCCUGGAUCUUUUGGACAUUCCUGUGCACUGCAUAAGCCCAGGGAAUUGGGUCCUCCUCAAACCUGGAAAAAUGACUGCCCUGAGGAUCAACUGCAACCCAAGUGGAUUGGAGCCUAUGAAGUCCUUCUGGUUACACAUUCUUCAGUAGAGCUAAAAGGAGUUAAACCUUGGAUACACCCCUCCAGAGUAAAAAUAGUACCCACUUCUAACCAGCACCCCCCUUGUCCCCUUUACAGUUCCCAAACAGGGCACGCUCUCCAUGGACAGGAGGAAGUAGGAGGACCCAACCUUCCUAACACCAGAGGGGCCAGGAAACCCACUACUGAUUUCUCGGCCCCUAAUUACACUUAACUGAACUUAAGUUACUUUUCAAAUCGAAACAGGACAGCUAAGUCUCCACCUGGUCAGGAAGAGAAGACGAGGCCAUCUCGAAAGUAGACAGCUCCACCCAGAAGUCUGGACCAGGCUGAUAUAAAUCCAAAUUCAGUCACUAAGAAUGUUAAAAAUAACAUGUUUUCACUGGUUCCCAAAGAAUAAGGUCUGUUUUUGGAGGACUGUUAAAAUUAGGAAUCAUAGUUCUGUGUAUCAUGGGGUUAAUCUUUUUACUCACCAAAUUUUUUACUUAUUGUCUAUCUCAUAUAUUUAAAAAGGCCUCCCCCACUCACAUGUUGAUUGCCCAAGACUUAAGCUUUCAAAGUGGGACUCGUGAAUAUUUACAAUCAAGUGCAAAAACAAUUUCAUUCCUCUUAUAAAAAUCUAUGCCCCUUCUCAGCAGGAAGCAGCUAGAGCGGUCGUCACUCUAUUUCCCUUAAGAUUGAGGAAUGUACAAAGUAAAAGGGGGGCACUAAAACAGCACAUAAAACAUUGACCUGCUUAUCCUGGUUUUGUCUCCUUAAAUAGGUUGUUGACUAAUCAAACCUUGAGUUAUUUUACAGAGACAGCACCCCCAAUUGCAAGACAGGAACCCAUGUCUCCAGGAUGACCCCAGAACCAAGAAUCUUCAGUCUGCAGAACUCAAACAAUAGACAUGUUGCCACUGGAGCCCUUUACCAAGCAAGAAGUUCUUCAAUAAGAAAAAUCCAGCUUCCAGCUGCCCAAAUAGCUUGAUUCCAAUCAGCUUCUGACUGUCAACACUAACCAAUAAGCUUGUGAAAUUCUCCUAACUUACAUUUUGCCCUGAACACUGGACAGGGAGACGGAUUUGAGCCCUGCCUCCUGUCGGUUGACUCACAAUAAAAUGCUUUCUUUUCUCAAAA